rnacentral:tRNA from 1 species
GCCUGGCUACCUCAGUUGGUAGAGCAUGCGACUCUUGAUUUCAAGGUCAUGAGUUCAAGUCCCUUGUUGGGCG